UACAGGGGGUGCAAACGUUGCUCGGAAUCAUUGGGCGUAAAGCGCACGUAGGCGGUCUGUUAUGUCGGAUGUGAAAGCCCUUGGCUCAACUGGGGAAGUGCAUCCGAAACUGGCAGGCUAGAGUACGAAAGAGGAUCGCGGAAUUCCCGGUGUAGAGGUGAAAUUCGUAGAGAUCGGAAAGAACACCAACGGCGAAAGCACUCUGCUGGGCCGACACUGACACUGAGAGACGAAAGCUAGGGGAGCGAAUGGG
rnacentral:rRNA from 1 species